CUCCUUACUUAAUGAUGGGAAAUAUAAUGAGCAUGAAGUUGAUCUCCCCUGGAUGAGUUUUAUGUUGCUGACCUAAUAAUUUCCCCAAAUGUGGGAAACUGAACUAUGUAAUUUAUGGUAGUGAGAGUUUAUUAUCACAGGCCUAA
rnacentral:snRNA from 1 species